rnacentral:rRNA from 1 species
GACGAACGCUGGCGGCGUGCUUAACACAUGCAAGUCGGACGAUGAAGCUGGAGCUUGCUCCGGUGGAUUAGUGGCGAACGGGUGAGUAACACGUGAGCAAUCUGCCCUUGACUCUGGGAUAACUGCGGGAAACUGUAGCUAAUACCGGAUACGAGACCUGAAGGCAUCUUCGGGUCUGGAAAGAAUUUCGGUCAAGGAUGAGCUCGCGGCCUAUCAGCUUGUUGGUGAGGUAAUGGCCCACCAAGGCGACGACGGGUAGCCGGCCUGAGAGGGUGACCGGCCACACUGGGACUGAGACACGGCCCAGACUCCUACGGGAGGCAGCAGUGGGGAAUAUUGCACAAUGGGCGAAAGCCUGAUGCAGCAACGCCGCGUGAGGGAUGAAGGCCUACGGGUUGUAAACCUCUUUUAGCAGGGAAGAAGCGAAAGUGACGGUACCUGCAGAAAAAGCACCGGCUAACUACGUGCCAGCCGCCGCGGUAA